rnacentral:rRNA from 1 species
UCAAGCUACUAAGAGCGCAUGAAGGAUGCCUUGGCAUCGGUAGGCGAAGAAGGACGUGUAAAGCUGCGAAAAGUUUCGGGGAGCUGCAAAAAAGCUUUGAUCCGGAAAUAUCCGAAUGGAGAAAUCCGUCUGAAGUAAUGUUCGGACAUUCUGAACUGAAUCCAUAGGUUCAGAAGGCGAUACGCGGUGAAGUGAAACAUCUCAGUAACCGCAGGAAAAGAAAUCAACCGAGAUUCCGUAAGUAGUGGCGAACGAACGCGGAAGAGCCUAAACCAGCCAGUUUACUGACUGGGGUUGCGGGACUCUGACAUGGUAUUGCAGAAUUUAGCAGAACGAUCUGGGAAGUUCGUCCAAAGAGGGUGACAGGCCCGUACGCGAAAAAAGAUGCAAACCUAAGAGAAUCCCAAGUAGGUCGGCACACGUGAAACUCCGACUGAAUCCGGGGAGACCACUCCCCAAGGCUAAAUACUAACCGAUGACCGAUAGUGAACCAGUACCGCGAGGGAAAGGUGAAAAAGAACCCCAGUGAGGGGAGUUAAAAGAAUCUGAAAUCAUGCGCUUACAAAGUGUGGGAGCGAAAGUGACCGCAUGCCUUUUGCAUAAUGAGCUUGCGACUUACUCUAUGCAGCGAGGUUAAGCCAGUGGCGAAGCCGAAGCGAAAGCGAGUGCGAACAGCGCGUAUAGUUGUAUGGAGUAGACCCGAAACUGAGUGAUCUACCGAUGGCCAGGUUGAAUCUCCGGUAACACGGAGUGGAGGACCGAACCGGUGUAUGUUGAAAAAUACUCGGAUGAGCUGUGGGUAGGAGCGAAAGACCAAUCAAACUCAGUGAUAGCUGGUUCUCUUCGAAAUAUCUUGAGGGAUAGCCUUGCGUUUAAUUAGUGUAUGGGGGUAGAGCUCUGAUUGUUAGAGGGUCCCGACAGGGAUACCAAAAACUGUCAAACUCCAAAUACCAUAAAACUGUAUCGCAGGAGUCAGACUGUGGGGGAUAAGCUUCAUAGUCGAGAGGGCAACAGCCCAGACCGCCGGCUAAGGUCCCAAAUUCGAGCUAAGUGGAUUGAAGGAUGUAGAGUUGCGUAAACAACCAGGAUGUUGGCUUAGAGGCAGCCAUCAUUUAAAGAACGCGUAAUAGCGCACUGGUCGAGUGAUUCCGCGCCGAAGAUGAUCGGGACUAAGUUCGAAACCGAAGCCGCGGAAAUCGUAUAUGAUACGAUUUGGUAGAAGAGCGUUGUAUGAGGAGCGAAGCCGAAAUGGAAAUGGAGGUGGACUUCAUACAAGUGACCAUGCAAGCAUGAGUAGCGAAAAACCGGAUGAGAAUUCCGGUCACCGAUAGACUAAGGAUUCCUGGGCAAGGUUCGUCCGCUCAGGGUUAGUCGGACCCUAAGGCGAGGCCGAAAGGCGUAGUCGAUGGAUAUCUGGUUAAUAUUCCAGAACCACCUUAUUGGAGUGAUGGAGGGACGCUGGAGCUAAUGUGAGGCAGCUAUAUGCUGCUCGAAAGCCAUGGGCAGUCAGGGGUUAAAUGACCUGGCGCGUUGCUGAAGGCUGACAGGCGGUGAAUCCUUCGGGUGAAGCCGAAUCACUGAUGCUGUACAGACGAGAAAAGCUCCUAAACGUUGAUAAUAGGGUGUCCGUACCGCAAACCGACACAGGUAGUCAAGGCGAGAAGCCUGAGGUGCGCGAGUGAAACCACUUCAAGGAACUCGGCAAAUUGGCCCCGUAACUUCGGAAGAAGGGGUGCCCAAGGGGUGUUAAAGCCUCGAGGGUUUCAACAAAGAGGCCGCGGCGACUGUUUAACAAAAACACAGCUCUCUGCUAACUCGCAAGAGGAUGUAUAGGGAGUGACACGUGACCAAUGCGGAAAGGUCAAAUGGAUCCGUCAGCAGCAAUGCGAAGCGGUGAUAUGAAGCCCCCGUGAAUGUCGGCCGUAACUAUAACGGUCCUAAGGUAGCGAAAUUCCUUGUCGGGUAAGUUCCGACCUGCACGAAUCGUGUAACGAUCGCGGCACUGUCUCGAAGUGGAGCUCGGCGAAGUUGUAAUUCCGGUGAAAAUGCCGGAUACCUGCAGUAGGACGGAAAGACCCUGUGAACCUUUACUGUAAUCUGAUAUUGGUAUUCGUGUGUUCAUGUGUAGCAUAGGUGGGAGGCAGCGAAACCGGGGCGUCAGCCCUGGCGGAGCCACCAGUGAAAUACCACCCUUGAAUACUUGAAUAUCUAACCUGCGCCCAUGAAUCUGGGCGGGGGACCGUGUCAGAGGGUCAGUUUGACUGGGGCGGUUUCCUCCAAAAUUGUAACGGAGGAGCACGAAGGUACACUCAGCAUGGUUGGCAAUCAUGCGAAGAGCGCAAGGGUAGAAGUGUGCUUGACUGUGAGACAUACAAGUCGAACAGAUACGAAAGUAGGUCCUAGUGAUCCAGCGAUGGAACGUGGAAUCGUCGUUGCUCAACGGACAAAAGGUACUCCGGGGAUAACAGGCUGAUAGCGCCCAAGCGUCCAUAGCGACGGCGCUGUUUGGCACCUCGAUGUCGGCUCAUCUCAUCCUGGGGCUGUAGAAGGUCCCAAGGGUCCGGCUGUUCGCCGGUUAAAGAGGUACGCGAGCUGGGUUCAAAACGUCGCAAGACAGUUUGGUCCUUAUCCACUGCAGGCGCAGGACAUUUGACAAGAGCAUUCCUUAGUACGAGAGGACCGGGAAUGACCGACCGCUGGUAUUCCAAUUGUGUGUAAACACGCAGCGUUGGGUAGCUAUGUCGGGAAAGGAUAAGCGCUGAAAGCAUCUAAGCGCCAAGCCCCCUUGAAGAUGAAAUGUCCCGGACCGCAAGGUCCCUGAAGGCAGGUUGUAGACUACGACCUUGAUAGGACAGAAGUGUAAGAACAGUAAUGUUUUCAGCUGACUGUUACUAAUAUGCCGUGCGGCUUGACCAC